rnacentral:lncRNA from 1 species
CCUGGCUCAUUAAAAUCUGAAUUGUCGGCCAGGUGUGAUGGUUCACACCUGUAAUCCCAGUUACUCGGGAGGCUAAGGCAGGAGAAUCGCUUGAAUCUGGGAGGAGUAGGCUGCAGUGAGCUGAGACGGCGCCACUGCACCCCAGCCUGGGCGACAGAGUGAGACUUCGUCUCAAAAAAAAAAAAAAAAAAUCUGGAUUGUCCAGUGCGGCUUCCGUUGACGGUUGCCCGCGGGGAUAUAGGAACAUGGCGGCCUCCCCUCCGGCAAUCACAGAAGUAGCUGAAAAGGAGGAAAGUAAUGCCCAGGGGAAUCCAGUGUGGGAUUAUGACAAGCAAUGGCAGUUAGCUGGAUUUGCUGCCACUUUUUGCACAACAAGGGAAGUGUUUUAAUUGGCUUUGCGCUUCCUGCUUUACAACAGUUCUGGCCUCACAUUACCAGUAACAGUCAGCAGCAAGAUGAACUUGGACCGUCAAAAAUAAACUCCAGGAAUGAAGUGAUUGCAGGAGUGCUAUUCAGGUGCCUUAUGUCUGGCGUAAAAACAUGGAUCUGAAGGGCCAGCAAGCUUCCUCAGGGAUUACUGAGGCAUCUCCUUGGAAAUCACAGCUCAUUAAUCCUGCUGUGAAGAAAGAGGCAGCCAGGACCUCUGGCUUUUCCUUUUUCUGAGCCAUAUUCUGUUCCAGCCAGCUUGGAUACCUUACAUGGACCUUAACAGGGCUCAUUACCCAGCACCAGUUGGGACUCGCUACCAUCUGUAAACUGUGCAGCCUGGAGGGAGCCUGUUGACUGGCAAUGCCAGAGAUGUCUCUUCUCUUUGCCUUUGUAAAGUCAUUUCUUUUAGGUGUGGUGAUUAAUUUAUUGAAAUUCAGGUGAAGACACCUGACCAUUUGACAGAGGGAAGAAAAGUGCUAGAUGAAAAUAUGCACUAUUCUCAAAUGUUCUCAAAGAGACUUUUAACCUCUAGUCUCAAUAGAUACUUCUGGUUUGGUUUCUCUACUUUUCUCUUGACACAAGUUUCAUUCAGAAGGUAGCAUCACAGAACGUGAAGUCACUCACCCUAGGUCAAAUUCCACAUUCCCUUUUGAAUAGACACUAAAAUGUCUAGCCUUUAUCCCACACAAUGAUAUUCGUACUCUUCUGAUUUAUCCCUGUAUUUCGUUAAGUUACUUUAAAUCCUUGGAUGAUGAGGGUCAUUGUUAUUUCCCACCUGAUGAAAAACUGAGACCUGAGAUACACAUAGAAGAGCUUUACCCCAAACCCAUGUUUCGUAACCAAAUAAUGUGAUAGUGACCUAGAACAGCUUAUUUCCUAGUCAAAAGCAGUUGUGAAACAAGGUAACUGUGACUCCUCCUCUCUGUUACACAUGCGUGUGUUGUGCCCUCUGCCCCUGCACUGACACAGUCAUCUUGAAUCACUUCACUGUUGUGUAAGAGGCUGUGGGGAAAACCUAAAGGAAUGGUUUAGUGGGUAAUUCUGACUAUUGGUAUUUUAAUAUUUGGGGUUUAAAAAAAAUUUGUAGAAAUGGGGUCUCGCUGUGUCACCCAGUCUGGCUUCAAACUUGGGCUUGAACAAUCCUCCUGCCUCAGCCUCCCAAAGUGCUAGGUCUAUAGUCAUCAGCUGUCAUGACUGGCUCUACUGGCAUUUUAGAAGUAUUCACAAAGGAGAGGGAACCAAAAAGGUGUCUCUUUGGUGGCAGUUUCAGGGAUCAGGAUGCUGGAUAAAAAAGAAAGUGGGCCUCCUCUGAAUUUAAAGUGGGACUUUGCUCCUUGGAUCUUUCCCAGGAGUUCAUUCCGAGGCCAGCACAUACAGUCUCAUCAGGCAUGUAGUUAAUGAAUGACUCUUUGCUGGUGGGAAUGUUAAUGUGCUGUAAAUUUUGGUGUGAAGUGUUCCAUGUCACAUUUGCCUUAACAUGUUUUUCCAUGCCUCUUAUUUAUAUGUCAUGGGAAGGGAAUGCAUGAUAAUGGACACUUUAAGGCAAGGCUUUUGACUGAAAGUAUAUGGAUUAUAUGCGUAGGAGACAAUUGAUUUCACUAGUAUUUGCGGAAACAAAUAUGAAGGCUGAUAUUUUUAUCUUUUUUUAAAAUGACAUUUUGGGUUAGAGAUGUAACAUGCACUCAUGUACAAAGUAGAGAGAUUUCAGGAGAAUAUGAUGAAAUUGAAUUCACUAAAAUCUGUCUACAUAGAAUUACACCCAUUGUGACCAUUUUGGAUCAUUUCCAGUUAGGCUGCUCCGUGACAAUACCCAUUUUUUAAAAAGUAGGACUCUUGACAUGAUAAAUUUUAUCAAGUAAAUUUAUGCUCUCACACUCAGAAAUUUGAAAAAGUCUUUCAUAUAUAUACUUUUUAUUUUAUAGGCAUGGGAAAGGCACAUUUUUAUCCCUGGGAUUGAAGUCUUCUAUCUCCUACCUUAAAUGCCAACUUGAAUCUUCUUAGUGCCCAACAUGUUAUUUUGGAGCAUAAGGGCCAGCCACAAGUGGGAGACAUUAGCCAGUCAGAAAAAUGCAGCUGACUGCUGUUCGGGUCCGGCACGUCUGCCAGGGGGCUACCGACCUGCGGGAGUCCCCGAGACCGCCAAUGUAAAUGUCUCGUUCAACCUGAGGGAGAGAGUGCGUGGAAGUGAAAGAAAAAAGUAAAGCGGAGUGUGGAGGUCUGCGUAACUUAUGGUCAAAAUGCAGCAAGUUUAUUCUCGUGGGUUACAGCUUUUAUACCUUUUUUUCUUGUUACAUUUACUUUACCUCAGCAGAAAAGGGGUAAACAGAAAGGAAAUAGAAACUCCAUAAAAAUAGUUAUCAGGGGCUUGUGGUAACAGCCCACAAAGCAGUUUAAGUUUUUCAAAGAUACACAGUGCAAGCAAACAAUGGUGCCCUUAAGGUGGCUUGUUAAUCCUGUUUUCCAUCAGGAGGUAAAACAAAGGCUUAGCUCCAGGGAAAAUAUGGGCAGGGGUCUCUUGUCCCUCUUAGGCAUCUCAAUUGUAUCAAGUUUAUUGCUUACACAGAGACUGAUGGGGACAUGAAAGCAGACAGCACAAUGUCCUCAUAAACCACAGACCUUUGCUUUGUAUUCUGUUUUUGCCUCAGUGACUCAGCCCGCGACCUUUGUCUCAGCUUGACAGCCCUCGAGAGGGGGCAGUGCAGAUAGGUCCAGCAGCCAAGAUGGGACGAGUCAUGCUAACUGUCUCAAGCCUUUGGCGCAAACACUGCACAGACUGUAUUCCUUGUUACAAUAGUUCCCUGUUACAUGCAUCCAGUAGUAUAACUGGGACAACAAUGGUCAUUUUGAGAGACAUCUUAGUCAACUAGAAAGGAAGAUGAUAAUGCUACCACUGAUAAAAGCCUUACUAAAACCAAGAACAGUUUCUUAUCUAAUCCUAUAAAAAAUGUGUAUUAAAUACUGCUAUUGUCUCUGUUUUUCAAAGGACAUUAAUGACUACAGAACAUAGGCUUACCUUGACACAGUAUCACAGCCAAAAUAUUGUGAGUGCUGGUGGAGGAGGACUUAGAUCUAGGUUUUAGCUGGCCUUGAAUUCUAUGGGAUUAAUUAUAAGCUGUGAGAAGCCUUUUAAAGUAUGUUUUUGUGGCUAGGAAAAGCAUUAGUUACCUCAGCCUCCAUCUCCUCUCCAUUUUCCAGUCAAUAUCAUUAUCCAGAGGACCCACAGGUGACUUUGUAGUUGCAGAGAUAACAGAUGCUAAAAGGGCUUGUGAAUAGGAAAAGAUGUUUUUUUUGGUGGGGAGGAAAGAGAGGAAUGCAGGCAGGAAGGGA